rnacentral:pre_miRNA from 1 species
GGGGGGGGGCCGGAUUCUGGGCUGUGUCCCGGCGCCCUGUGCUCCGGGGCCUGCGCUGUUGGAUUCGCGCUCCCGCCCCGCAGCCCCCU